AUGCAACAACGGGGAGUGACUUCAAUAUCUCCCACAUAUGCAGGAGGUAAUGGUCAAGUCAGAGACCAUCGAGAAACAGAGGAACAGGUUGAUGGCUACAAUCAGAAAAGUGAGAUUCGAAGUAGAGCUUCAGGAUGCGAUGUACUACCAUCGGCCAGACCUGAAAAUUCUUAUAUUGGUAACACAAGGACUCCUCUUGCUGGCAUUGGUGGGCCAAUUAGGAAGCACCAUAAUCUUACCAAAAAAGUCUGCGGUAAGGUUGAUAUGUACAGAAACCGAGAAGCAGCUGCGGAAAAGUUGAGUAGUCCUUACACUACUCAUCACAGCAAAACACCUGCAAAGGUAGGCUUGGAUGGAGAAGAGAAUUAUGAUCCAUGGCUGUUGUGGAUUCCAUUGACAUCUUCUAGCAAAGACUGUCGAGAUUCUCACUAUGGUGCUUUCACCCCACCUACAACAGACAGUGAAAGAUGUGCGGAUCUGCAAGUUGGUUCCAGCAAUAGUGGCAUCAGAACUAUAACCCAAACUCAAUGUUGCAACAAUCAGGGUGAAGUUUUGAAGCCUAUUCUAGAAGUUCGUCAUGAAGGUGAUAUGGAAGUUGAUGGGGCUAUGGCGCCAGCCCUUAAGGCGCCACAGGCGCCAUGA
rnacentral:rRNA from 1 species